AGUGAACGCUGGCGGUAGGCCUAACACAUGCAAGUCGAACGGCAGCACAGUAAGAGCUUGCUCUUACGGGUGGCGAGUGGCGGACGGGUGAGGAAUACAUCGGAAUCUACUUUUUCGUGGGGGAUAACGGAGGGAAACUUACGCUAAUACCGCAUACGACCUACGGGUGAAAGCAGGGGAUCUUCGGACCUUGCGCGAUUGAAUGAGCCGAUGUCGGAUUAGCUAGUUGGCGGGGUAAAGGCCCACCAAGGCGACGAUCCGUAGCUGGUCUGAGAGGAUGAUCAGCCACACUGGAACUGAGACACGGUCCAGACUCCUACGGGAGGCAGCAGUGGGGAAUAUUGGACAAUGGGCGCAAGCCUGAUCCAGCCAUACCGCGUGGGUGAAGAAGGCCUUCGGGUUGUAAAGCUCUUUUGUUGGGAAAGAAAAGCAGCAGGUUAAUCCACCGCCGUUCUGACGGUACCCAAAGAAUAAGCACCGGCUAACUUCGUG
rnacentral:rRNA from 1 species